rnacentral:rRNA from 1 species
AAUGAACGCUGGCGGCGUGCUUAACACAUGCAAGUCGAGCGAGGCGGAGGGGGCAACUCCUCUAGCCGAGCGGCGGACGGGUGAGUAACACGUGGGUAACCUGCCCGGAAGUGGGGAAUACCUCGGGAAACUCGAGCUAAUGCCGCAUGACAUUUCCGGGACGAAAGUCCUGGCGAUCAAAGCGGGGUCGCAAGAUCUCGCGCUACCGGAUGGGCCCGCGCCCGAUUAGCUAGUUGGUGAGGUAACGGCCCACCAAGGCUUCGAUCGGUAGCCGGCCUGAGAGGAUGAUCGGCCACACCGGAACUGAGACACGGUCCGGACUCCUACGGGAGGCAGCAGUGGGGAAUCUUGCGCAAUGGGCGAAAGCCUGACGCAGCAACGCCGCGUGGAGGAUGAAGGCCCUUGGGUUGUAAACUCCUGUCGGCUGGGAAGAAAUCGUGCGGUGCUCAUACCACCGUAUGUUGACUGUACCAGCAAAGGAAGCCCCGGCUAACUCUGUGCCAGCAGCCGCGGUAA